CCGACUUUAGCUCAGUUGGCAGAGCAUCAGACUGUAAUGGUUACCUUACGUAAUAUCUGGGUGUCGCCUGUUCGAACCAGGCAAGUCGGA